GGGGGAUUAGCUCAAAUGGUAGAGCGCUCGCUUAGCAUGUGAGAGGUAGCGGGAUCGAUAAGUCUUUUUCUUCA